AGAGAGAGACAUGCGCGCAUAUCAAUAAGCGGAGGAAAAGAAACUAACUAGGAUUCCCUCAGUAACGGCGAGUGAAGCGGGAAGAGCUCAAAUUUGAAAUCUUCAAGGUUCUACCUUGACGAAUUGUAGUUUAAAGAAGUGUUUUCUGUUGAAGUUUUGGUAAAAGUUCUUUGGAAUAGGACAUCAUAGAGGGUGAGAAUCCCGUAUUUGACCAUUAUUUUCAGCUUUGUGAUACACUUUCAAAGAGUCGGAUUGUUUGGGAAUGCAGUCCAAAAUGGGUGGUAAAUUUCAUCUAAAGCUAAAUAUUGGCGAGAGACGGAUAGCGAACAAGUACCGUGAGGGAAAGAUGAAAAGAACUUUGAAAAGAGAGUUAAACAGUACGUGAAAUUGUCAAAAGGGAAGCGUUUGACACCAGUGUUGUUUUCUCGAAAAUCAAUUAAAAAUGGCUCGAUUUUGUAUUGCUUGAGACCUUAAAAGCUCACUGUACAUUUUUCGUGUCUUUUUUAAUGCACUUUUCGUUUAACAAGUCAACAUCAGUUUCUUUUGUUGUAAAAGGGUCAUUGGAAGGUGGCUUUCUUUUCGGAGAAAGUGUUUAUAGCCUUUGGCCUCUGCAAUCGGAGAGACUGAGGUCUGCAGCGUAGACUCUUCGGGGUUAGAUACAUUUGUGCUAAGUUAUAGCUUUUUAUAGACAACUUGUUGACUAUAAUUAGUCUUGUAGCUUACUCGCUUAUGCUAUUUUACCUACGCUUAGGAUGUUGAAGAUGUAGCACAUCAU
rnacentral:rRNA from 1 species